GAAAAAUACAUAAAAUAUUUUGCAGUCCAAAUAAAAUAAAACUGAAUUAUUAUAGAUAUUAUUUUUUUGUUAAGAAAAUACAAGGUUGCAUGCCUUUGUCAUGAUUGUGAUUGAUACAUAUAGAUAGCGUGGGCUGCACCUAAUGGACUUGUCAACAACAACAACAAAGAAGCAACAAAAUAGACAAAAAAAGCAUGGAGGUGGAGAAGAAUUAUUUUAGGUCCACUUGAGACACGAAUUGAGGGAAAAAUAAAAAAAUAAAAAAGCAGGCUUCAUCCUUUUGACAAACUAUAGAAAGCAUGUGUAGUUUAAAUUCUCUUUCCUUUUAUCUUUCCUCUAAUGUGUUUACCACUUUCAGGAGUUCAGCUCCUGUGAUGCUGCGAGCCCGGGUAGUCCAGAUGACAUGUUUCUUAAGGAUGUGAAUCCGUGUUUAACACCCCAUUAUGCAAAGACAAAAUCUA
rnacentral:misc_RNA from 1 species